UUCUAUUCUUUCAUUUUUGUUGAUUGCAAAAGCUAAAAAGAUAUUCUUCAAGUAUCUGUUAUCUGGAUUCGAAAAUGUUCUCACCAAAGCUGUGGAGUCGAUACCGAUAGUAGAUACUAAGUAUCUUUAUUUUGUUCUUUUUCGUUUUUAAUUGUCAACUUGAUUUUUGUUCCGUUUUUUUUUAAUUGUGACUCUUAAUUGUUGUUCUUUUGUUUUUCCUUUGGUGUUGAUUAAACUCGAUUCAAGUGGACAUGAUGCUUAGUCGAUUUUCUAUCAUUUUUGAUUGCUCCAAAUGGAGAGAGACUGAACAAUGUCUCAAGGAAAAGCUAAUGUUCCUUGGUUUAUUAAAUACGCUUCUUCAAGUUAUCAGUUUUCUUGUUUUACUCACUGCUUUUGGUGCUUUUCGUUACCUUUGGUAUUCUUGUGGACACCUUGUGAUUUUACCUCUUUUUCUGGUUUCACUUUACCGGGAAUGGGCUGAGGUUCUACGGUACAUCAGAGUUUUAUUAAUAAUUGGACAGAUAAUCAUUGGUUUAAAUAUAAUCUAUUUCAUCUUUGUAAUUGGAUCUGAUCCGGAUGGUAAAGAGCCGCUUAGAGGUGCUAAUAUUUACUCCUUUUUCGCCAACGUUAUCAACCUUCCCUGCAAGUUUGUUCUCUCUUCUUUUUGGAACUUCUUUUGGAACAAAUGCCGAUCGACGAAGAAGAAGCUUAAAUUAUCAAAAAGAAACCCAAAAAUCGAAUCAAUUUAAUGUGUAAAUACAAACAACUCUAAUGACAGACGAAGACGAUACUUAUAAUGAACGAGCUUUAUCCCGACAAUGAUUACCAUUCAAUCAACAUUAAUCAAUCUCAUCACAAAGGUCAUAAUCAGUGUCCAUCCUCAUCUAAAUCUAUUUGUAAACCCAAAUGUUGCCUUAGGUGAAAAUCCUCCAAACUUCAAGAUUAUCAAUUUAUAACAAUUAACUAACCACAAAAAAAAGUUACUCUAAAUAUCAACAGAUGCCAGUAGAGGUCAAGGUUUAAACGUAACAAAAAGUGAAUUAAUCUUUUCCUCCUCUAGAUGUCACUACUUAUCCAAACAAUUAAAUUUAAUUGUCAAUCAAUUUGAUCAACAAUCAAUUGGAAAAUCAUGACCAUCCACUAAAAAGCCACCAAAUCAACAAUUCAAUCCUUUGAACAAGAAUGAAAAUACUUUUCAAUUUGGUAAAACAAUCAACUCAACAAGUGGAUCCAUCAUCAAUUAACAGCAACUCCAACGACAAUUAGUUAACCAAUUACAUACUAAUAAUGUUUUAUUACUAAAUUAUCGUGAUAAUGAUUUAACUUUUGUUUUUGGAAAAGACAAAACUUGAAAGUCUGAUAAUUAAAGGGGAGAAAAUUAAAUUCUGUUAGAAAACUGUUAGGUCAUUGCUACCUCAGUUUUAAGAUUUUAAUUUAAAUUGUUUGUGUGAGAAGAAGACAUUUUAUUGUCUAAUUAACAAUUAAGAGAAAGAUAUUUAAAGAUUUAAGAUAAUCUUCAUUUUUCAUCUUCAUCUCUCUUUUCUUGUUCAUGUAACUGACACAUUUUCCUCUCUCAUCUUCCCAUCUUCAUCUUCAUCUUCAUCAUCAACAUAAUCAAGUGACCGGUUAGCCGCAGGUCAGUUAAUUGUUGACCUUUUUUCACCAACAAUCAUAAUCAUAAUGAUGACAAUUUAAUUUGGAAACAAAGUAAAUGAUGGUGAUAAUAACCAUCAUAUCUAGUGUCUUAUAUAUGGAAAGGAUAAUUAAAUUAAAAGACAAAAAAGUCAAAAUAAUCAUAAUCAAAUUAAAGGAUGAAUUCAGGUUAACUUUUCAAUCUUAAUUGUUGUAAUCAUCUCCUUAAUCAUUAUCCCUUAUAAUUAACAUUGACUAAUUAACUUUACUAAAAACAAACACAAACUAAUCCUAUCCAAAGUUUCAACAAUUAACCAAAUGUUCAAGUUAAUAAUCAAUUUGAUUGUUACAAGGGCAGGGCCAGUAAAUUGUUGAUUCUAAUCAACUCAAUUGAUUAACAGUUAAUCAUGAAUUAUGAAUAUUAUUUUGAUUAAGAUGAUUAAACUUUUGUUCACAAGGCGUUUUCCCAAUCAUACUAAUCAUCAUCAACUUUCAUGUUAAUCAACAAUUUUAAAUUGUCUUAAAUUACUCACAAUUAGAGCCCUAAAAAUAGGGACAAUUCACCUUGACCACACCUUUGACCCCUGACCUCUCCCCUUGAUAACAGUUAUCAUUAUAAUGUCAUAUUAACUUAAUGUUGAUCAUCAGAAUUGAUUGUGAUUAAAAUUUUCCCUUAAAUAAUUAACCCUGUAAACUUAAUCCAUUUGCAAUAUGUUUUCAUUGUAAUAAUCGGUUUAAUUAUCUUGAUUAAACUUUCCAAAGGUUAACAAUUA